rnacentral:tRNA from 1 species
UGACGUAGGCUCAGUGGUCAGAGCGCUUGGAUGGUUUCUAAGAGGCGCGGUUCGAGCCCCGCUACAUUCA